AAAAGCUUCUACCAAGAUGGGGCCGAAGUCAGGGCUCCUAUCACAGAAGCUGCUCUGGUUCUGCCCAAGGGCAAAUGGACCGAGCAUCACUCCAGUAUCACUCUUUGAUUUUUCUGGGGGACAGAAAGCUGGAUAGAAUGGGCAGACCGUGGAUCAGAAAAACAAAAGAAAACAAAAAACAAGCAAACAAACAAAAAACAGACAAAGAGCAGCACAGCAUUGACGCUAAAGUUCUGGGGUCCCCCUGAAAUCUUCUCCCUGCUUUCCUCCCGGGUAUUCUGCAUACCCACCCUCAUAGGACACCUGAGUAGUCCCUUCAGCCCCCAACAUAUCCGACCACAGAUUGUCCCGGGAGGAGCCUGCGACUCUGAUGUGGUGAAUUCUCUGGAAACGGAACGGCAUGCUGCUGCCUAUUUGACUCCAUGGAAGUAGAGGCUGACAGGGAGCCUAGGCUUUGUCCCUUCCUUACUGAAGAGGCGCCAGCACCAGGCAUGUCACUGGACCCUGGAGGGGAACAAGUCUUAGAGUUAGCAACAAGUUCUGAGAAGUAUCUGCCCUCCGUACACACACCCUGUGCACACGCCUGGCCCCAUACACACACACCGUGUACGCGCACAUCCCUGGAGUUGGAAGCUGAUGUCACUAGAGACAUCUUGAUUAUACAAGGUGCAGCAGCUUGGCACCAGCCUGUUGUGUCUUUACACUCUGCUGACCCUUGCUAAAAGAGAGCAACAAAAAGCAAAGGAGAGAACCACCCAGCAGCUCGGAGCUCUUAGCUCCUCAUGCAGCCGCUACAGAGCGAGGCCGGGAGGCUGGUGAAGAACGCGGACCGGACAGACGGAUGACACCCUGCCCAGACACACUCCAGGAAUGUGAACCCACAGCCCUCAGGAAGCUACAGUGCAAUAAGAGACAGAUAACAAGGACCAGGCCGGAGGCCAACACUGGAGCCGUUAGAGCCUCCAAGGGAGAAGCCAUUGGAACAGCAGCCGCCUGAGUGACAGAUAGAGCUGAGCCAGGUUGAGGCGGCGGGGACAGUGUUCCAGGCCCAGGAGGCAAAGGAAUCCAAGCCAGAACUGCAUAACACCGUACGGAUUUUCACAUUUGUUUUUAUGGGGUACCUUCCCUUCUGAAAACGAUGCGGGGGGUUUGUCAUUUACAACUGGUGUAUAAAGUUACCUUUGUAAACACAGCCCUUUAA